rnacentral:rRNA from 1 species
UACGUAGGGUGCAAGCGUUGUCCGGAAUUAUUGGGCGUAAAGAGCUCGUAGGCGGUUUGUUGCGUCGGCUGUGAAAUCCCGAGGCUCAACCUCGGGUCUGCAGUCGAUACGGGCAAACUAGAGUAUUGCAGGGGAGACUGGAAUUCCUGGUGUAGCGGUGAAAUGCGCAGAUAUCAGGAGGAACACCGGUGGCGAAGGCGGGUCUCUGGGCAAUAACUGACGCUGGAGGAGCGAAAGCGUGGGGAGCGAACAGG